rnacentral:rRNA from 1 species
ACGCCUAAUACAUGCAAGUCGAACGGGGUAGCAAUACCUAGUGGCAGACGGGUGAGUAACAUGUGGGUAUCUUCCCUUUGGUGAGGAAUAACACGAGGAAACUUGUGCUAAUACCUCAUAAGUCUUUACGGAGAAAGCUUUAUGCGCCAAUGGAUGAGCCCGCACUUGAUUAGUUAGUUGGUAGGGUAAUGGCUUACCAAGACUUUGAUCAAUAGCUGAUUUGAGAGGAUGAUCAGCCACAUUGGGACUGAGACACGGCCCAAACUCCUACGGGAGGCAGCAGUAGGGAAUCUUGCACAAUGGAGGAAACUCUGAUGCAGCGAUGCCGCGUGAGUGAAGAAGGCCCUUGGGUUGUAAAGCUCUUUCGUCGGGGAAGAAAAUGACUGUACCCGAAUAAGAAGGUCCGGCUAACUUCGUGCCAGCAGCCGCGGUAAUACGAAGGGACCUAGCGUAGUUCGGAAUUACUGGGCUUAAAGAGUUCGUAGGUGGUUAAAAAAGUUGGUGGUGAAAUCCCAGAGCUUAACUCUGGAACUGCCAUCAAAACUUUUUAGCUAGAGUAUGAUAGAGGAAGGCAGAAUUUCUAGUGUAGAGGUGAAAUUCGUAGAUAUUAGAAAGAAUACCGAUUGCGAAGGCAGCUUUCUGGAUCAUUACUGACACUGAGGAACGAAAGCAUGGGUAGCGAAGAGGAUUAGAUACCCUCGUAGUCCAUGCCGUAAACGAUGUGUGUUAGAUGUUGGAAAUUUAUUUUCAGUAUCGCAGCGAAAGCGUUAAACACACCGCCUGGGGAGUACG